GCUUACGUAGCUUAACUAAAGCAUGCCGCUGAAGAUGGCAAGAUGGUCCUGAGAUUGGCCCCGAAAGCA
rnacentral:tRNA from 1 species